UACGUAGGUGGCGAGCGUUACUCGGAAUUACUAGGCGUAAAGCGAGUGUAGGCGGGAGCUUAAGUCCGCUGUUAAAUCUCACGGCUCAACCGUGAACAGCCGGCGGAUACUGGGCUUCUUGAAUUCGGUAGAGGAAACUGGAAUUCCAGGUGUAGCGGUGAAAUGCGUAGAUAUCUGGAAGAACGCCAAAGGCGAAGGCAGGUUUCUGGGCCGCAAUUGACGCUGAGACUCGAAAGCUAGGGGAGCAAACAGG
rnacentral:rRNA from 1 species